rnacentral:tRNA from 1 species
GCCUGGCUGGUUCAGUUGGUAGAGUGUGAGACUCUUGAUUUUGGGGUUGUGAGUUUGAGCCCCACGUUGGGUA